UACGGAGGGUGCAAGCGUUGUUCGGAAUUAUUGGGCGUAAAGCGCGUGUAGGCGGUCUGUUAAGUCUGAUGUGAAAGCCCCGGGCUCAACCCGGGAAGUGCAUUGGAUACUGGCAGACUUGAGUACGGGAGAGGGAAGUGGAAUUCCGAGUGUAGGGGUGAAAUCCGUAGAUAUUCGGAGGAACACCGGUGGCGAAGGCGGCUUCCUGGACCGAUACUGACGCUGAGACGCGAAAGCGUGGGGAGCAAACAGG
rnacentral:rRNA from 1 species